GGGAUACGCAUGCGCACUGAAUGAGCAUCCUACUUGGUGUUGACUUCCGGUUAAAUGUCCUUUGACUGAAUCAGCUGAUAAUAAUAGAUUUAUAAUUCUUUAUAAGGUAUUUCUCAAAUACCACACAUGCACACAUAUAUAACAACACUAACCUUUAUGAAACAUUUGCAACAUCGGAUGAGAGAAGAAUCCUCAAUGUCGACCAUGUUUUAAAGAUUAAAGGAAAAUACACAAAACAGAAGUAUCACUUGAUUUCUACAAUUCUUUGGGAGAAUUUUUGUGAAACAUUUGCUCUGAAAUAAUAAUAUUAGCCAGAUUUCUGAACAUUGCUGACUAGAGUGUCAAGAAGAGAAGACUGUGUGCUGAUUAAAGUUGGAUAAAUCUUUGGAAGUGUUGCUAAACAAAGGUAACACUGGACAGAAAUACAGCAGCAGAAGUGUAUGUAAGGAAUAAAGUAUAAAAACGAAAGCAA